UACGUAGGGGGCAAGCGUUGUCCGGAAUCAUUGGGCGUAAAGAGCGUGUAGGCGGCUUGGUAAGUCCGCUGUGAAAGUCCAGGGCUCAACCCUGGAAAGCCGGUGGAAACUGUCAAGCUUGAGUCCGGAAGAGGCGAGUGGAAUUCCUGGUGUAGCGGUGAAAUGCGCAGAUAUCAGGAGGAACACCAAUGGCGAAGGCAGCUCGCUGGGACGGUACUGACGCUAAGACGCGAAAGCGUGGGGAGCAAACAGG
rnacentral:rRNA from 1 species